AUUGAACGCUGGCGGCAUGAUUUACACAUGCAAGUCGAACGGUAACAGGCCGCCAGUUGCUGACGAGUGGCGAACGGGUGAGUAAUGCAUCGGAACGUGCCCAGUCGUGGGGGUUAACUACUCGUAAGAGUAGCUAAUACCGCAUACGAUCUAUGGUUGAAAGCGGGGGACCGUAAUGCCUCGCGCGAUUGGAUCGGCCGAUGUCAGAUUAGGUAGUUGGUGGGGUAAAGGCUCACCAAGCCAACGAUCUGUAGCUGGUCUGAGAGGACGACCAGCCACACUGGGGCUGAGACACGGCCAAGACUACUACGGGAGGCAGCAGUGGGGAAUUUUGGACAAUGGGCGCAAGCCUGAUCCAGCAAUGCCGCGUGCAGGAAGAAGGCCUUCGGGUUGUAAACUGCUUUUGUACGGAACGAAACGGCUCUGGUUAAUACCCGGGGCUAAUGACGGUACCGGAAGAAUAAGCACCGGCUAACUACGUG
rnacentral:rRNA from 1 species